GAUUAGACCUUGAGGCAAUGCAUCUUAGUUAUCUAUCUUUAAAUUCGGUUUAGGUUUACUAUUAUCGUCAGUUUGUUACUAUUAUCGUCAGUUUGCUACUAGUCAUUUGUAAUAAAUGCCUCAAGAUUAAUAAAGAGUAUUAUUAUUAUGUCUUGUGUGUCUCUACUUUAUUUUUGUGCAAGAAAGCAGAAAACAAGUAUGGGGGAGAUCCCUCGACAUGCCGAACACACUUCGACUACACCACUCCACAAUUCAGGUACACACUCUGCACACUUUAGACAUACACAUAUCUUGGAUUAUGCAGAAUAUUGUUUCCGACAUGGUAAAUUAAAAAGAUUAAAAUGUUACUAAUCAUGAUAUCUCCUGGAAACUACAAAUUAUUGAAAAAAUCAUUUUAAAACCAUGUGUUACUUUAGUCAUUGUGGAAUGGUAGAGUAUGAGUUUCUUAUUAUUGAUAUCAUUGUUGCUUGGAGAAUUUAUUUCAAAAUCUUCAAAUUCUAGCUACCAUCCUCAGUGUUUUAUAUGCCUAAUAAAACUAAAAAUAUUAAUUAUGAUUAUAAAAGCUAUCUACUCUGUAUUAAGUUUGUUCAAACUGAGUUAGACCCUUGUUGAGAGAUUUAUCAUGCUCCUAAGAUCAAGACAUCUAUUCAGAAAGAUUCACUCUUCCGAAGUAUUAUUGCAUUAGAGGCAUGGGCUAUGCAAAAAUAAAGAUAUUUUGAGGAAAUAGAAAGGAGCAAGUGCUCGAUAACCUCGCAGAAAAAAUGGACAAGUGUCCAAUAGUAGAAUUAGGGGUACCUCGGUAUCCACUUAAAAAAAGAAAUAUAAAAGAAAGAAAAAAAUAGCCCACAGUCCCUCUAAUAAGCAAUAUGCCAGCAAGAGAUGACAAAGAUUUUAAUGUCCAAAGUCUUUGAUCUAAGAGUAUGACAUUCCCCUCCUCGGAUCCCGUUUUGAUCAGGCAAUAAAUGUAAAGUAAGUAUGCUCGAAAAUUUUUGCAAAUUAAAACAGCCUCAGUGAGAAAUAUAGAAGAUAAUGAGUGAUCUGAGAGAACCUAUGAGGAUAAAAGGUAUGCUAACUUUGUUUUCAAAAAUAUACAAAAACUCCAAGUGACAGGAUUAAGAAGAAAGGAUCUUUACUCUUAACCAUAAACUUCCCUGACUAUAGUACACAGUGGAUUUUAACACUCUGCAGGUAUGAAGAGAAUGUUUUAAAAAUGUUUUACCCCAGAUAUUGUUCUUAACCAUCCUUUUCUCGAGGACGAGUAAAAGCCUAAGUAUGGGGGUAUUUGUUGACGGUUCUUAAGUAUCAAUUCUAAUUAUCAAAUAAACAAUAGAAAGGACCAAUAUGCAAACAACACCUAGAGUUAGGGUUUGAUCUGACAGAAUUCCACGAGUUUUGUUGUUUAUCUGUUUCUGCAGGGGGUUAUCGGGAAAUAAGGAAGAAAGGCCCACAUGUCGGGAUUACAUAGAGAUAUCAACGCACCGCGCAAUUUUCUACCAUCUAGAAGACUCCAGAAGCCACGGGAAGGAAGCGGAGGCCGAACGGGGCCAGGCACUGGGCGCCGGCCCAGUUGACCUGGGCGCCCGCCCCCUCCUGGACUUGGUUUGGGACUCUUUUCGC
rnacentral:lncRNA from 1 species